UACGUAGGGUGCGAGCGUUAAUCGGAAUUACUGGGCGUAAAGGGUGCGCAGGCGGUUCUGCAAGUCAGGCGUGAAAUCCCCGGGCUUAACCUGGGAAUGGCGCUUGAAACUACGGGACUGGAGUAUGGCAGAGGGAGGUGGAAUUCCACGUGUAGCGGUGAAAUGCGUAGAGAUGUGGAGGAACACCGAUGGCGAAGGCAGCCUCCUGGGCCAAUACUGACGCUCGUGCACGAAAGCGUGGGGAGCAAACAGG
rnacentral:rRNA from 1 species